UAAUCUGAAAUCAAUUGAGAUUACCCGCUGAGCAUAAGCAUAUUACUGAGCGGAGCAAAAGAAAAUAACAAUGAUUCGCCUAAUAACGGCGAUCGACGGGGGAAGAACUCAAUGUGAAACUCGUGAGCCCUUUGCUGGCCUCACGAAUUGUAGCGUCUAGAGGCGUUGUCAGUGGGAGGAAGGGUCCAAGUUUCUUGGAACAGAGCUUGAGAGAGGGUGACAGCCCCGCCCUGUUUUCUCUUCCUUUUCCCCCACGUACGGCGUGCUUUUACUGAGUCGCGUUCAUUGGGAUUUGAGCGCAGAAUGUAUGAUAAGCUUCACAUAAAGCUAAAGAUCGGCAUGGUACCGAUAACAAAAAAGUACAGUGGAGAAAAGAUGACAAGGAUUUUGAAAAGAUAGUUAAAAAAAAGUCUGAAAUUACUGAAAGGAAAACGACUGAAACUUUCGUUUCCCUCCGUUCCGGUCGGCUCACUCCCGUUACUGGGUCCCGCGCCACUACUUAGUAGCAGCAUACGCCUCUGUGGAGGCCGUUCCGUGCUAUUGCUAGACAGUCUCACUAGUCUCCAGGGGUGCGCACCAUCCCGGCUUUGACUGACCUCGUUAUGUUCACGUUCUAACCCCGACGCGGCGUUGCGCCCCGUCUCAGGCGGCCUCCGGUCAGGGGAGAAUACAAUGGCAUUGGGCUCGGUCGCGACCUGGCCUCUCUCGCCACCUAUGGGUAGCUCUGGCCUAGUGCGUUCAUCUCCCCUAACGCCUAGGCCUGGUCGUUUGACCAGUUUGCUUCCUAGUCAACGUCUGUAAGUGCACACGUCGAACUCCAUCCGUCCUGCCACUCAGGCGGAGUUCGUUGGAUCGUGGAGCAAUCUCUAGCGUAAUGAUCCUUCCCUCCACAUUUCGAGCAGAUUUUUCCUCUACGUCUCGGCAAUCCGUUGCGCAGGGGGCAGUUCCUUCCGAAAUGCCCCUUUCCAGUGCAUUCGUAACAACGAAUGCCAUCGCUCUCGUCUGUGAUUCUUCCCUUCCCCGUCGGGAUGGACCGCGUUGAGGUAUUAGUACUUCUGACGGACCCCAAUCGUCGCUUCGGGAGGCGUUCCAAUUCCUGUAGGGUGCGCAGCCUCCUCGCACGCCAUGCCUGGAGUGGCUCGGCCCAGGCUCUUAGGGCUGCAGCUGCCUCUUCCCAACAUUGGAAUUUCUUGGUUCCAUCAUGAGUCAGUUUUUCGCCUAUUUCCAUUGGCAAGCACGUAAAGAACCACAACACCAGUUCUUCAUCCUCUAUGAUUUCUCCUUGAGUGGCUACUUCAGCAAAUCGAUCGAUGUACUCGUUGUAGUCUCCGCUCCAGUGAAUUUUCGCCAGGCGCUUCAUCAUCUCUUCGCGUGACAGGCAGAACUUCCAGCAUAGACUUUCUCUUACGUGCUCCCAAUUUGACAUAUCCGUUCGCAAGAAUAGCAUUUGUCCGUAAUAGCUUAGGGCAUUGCCUGUCAAGUAGUACUUUAAACGGGAUCCCCACUGUUCUUCUGGUACCCCCCUUUCCCGGAAUUCCUUUUCGAA
rnacentral:ncRNA from 1 species